rnacentral:lncRNA from 1 species
GCCAAUCCAUAACCAGAUCGCUUACUAAUCGCUUAACUCUUUGUUCAUAACAUUAUACGUGUAUCACUGGGAUCGAUCCGUUGUCAAAGAAUUUCCUAUGCCAAAGAGGGAUUCGAGAUUUCACCGCAGACUGGACCUACCUCCUGGGCCGGGCACUUAAAUUUUCCUUAUUCGAUUCAUAGGUCAAUCCAGUGGUUCCUCCCGCCUGGCAGGUCUAAGAAUACAACCCCUACGACACAGUUGAAACCAAUUGUCUCUCACUUCAAAGAUGGACCCUCUGUUCCUUUGAAAUGCCUUUGAUACAUCAAUUCUGCACGGUAACUCAGUAAAAGCCACCGUUUCCAGUGCUUUUUUGAGCAAGGAAAUAUUGGUUUUAUUCGGAAAAGUUGCUUGGUGCAAAGCUAGGGGAAACAUAAAGUUUCCGCUCACCCUAAGAUGAUC